rnacentral:rRNA from 1 species
AUUGAACGCUGGCGGAAUGCUUUACACAUGCAAGCCGAACGGCAGCACGGACUUCGGUCUGGUGGCGAGUGGCGAACGGGUGAGUAAUAUAUCGGAACGUGCCCAGUCGUGGGGGAUAACGUAGUGAAAAUUACGCUAAUACCGCAUACGAUCUAAGGAUGAAAGCGGGGGAUCGCAAGACCUCGCGCGAUUGGAGCGGCCGAUAUCAGAUUAGGUAGUUGGUGAGGUAAAGGCUCACCAAGCCGACGAUCUGUAGCUGGUCUGAGAGGACGACCAGCCACACUGGAACUGAGACACGGUCCAGACUCCUACGGGAGGCAGCAGUGGGGAAUUUUGGACAAUGGACGCAAGUCUGAUCCAGCCAUGCCGCGUGCAGGAAGAAGGCCUUCGGGUUGUAAACUGUCUUUUGUACGGAACGAAAAGGCUCUGGUUAAUACCUGGGGCUCAUGACGGUACCGUAAGAAUAAGCACCGGCUAACUACGUG